UACGAAGGGGGCUAGCGUUGCUCGGAAUCACUGGGCGUAAAGCGCACGUAGGCGGAUCGUUAAGUCGGGGGUGAAAGCCCGGAGCUCAACUCCGGAACUGCCCUCGAUACUGGCGAUCUUGAGUUCGGGAGAGGUGAGUGGAACUGCGAGUGUAGAGGUGAAAUUCGUAGAUAUUCGCAAGAACACCAGUGGCGAAGGCGGCUCACUGGCCCGAUACUGACGCUGAGGUGCGAAAGCGUGGGGAGCAAACAGG
rnacentral:rRNA from 1 species